AUCGCGAAAGUUUAGCUGGUAUAGUAUCUGCUCGGCAAGCGGAAUGUCACCGGUUCGAUUCCGGCUCGCGUUA
rnacentral:tRNA from 1 species